AGAGGCAAAAGGGCAGGUUUGUAAACCGUGUCUGAGCCAGCGUGACACUGCAGUAGGGGCACAGGACCAUGGUGAUGCUUCUGUCCAGCUGCAUCCUUCCAGGUCCCAGGGCAGCCAUGGGGCAAUGAGAAGUGGUUUGUAAACCAGGAGGGAAAGUGGUUUCCAGGCUUUCCCAAGAUUCCUCCUUGGUGAUGUCGAUGCUGCCAUGACUGUUGUCUAUUCCACCAUCCCUUAAGAGACCAGCAGCCACCAUCCACAAGCCCAAGAAGUCUGGGAAAACCACAUCCCAUGCACUGAUUUUUUUACUUUAUUUAGGAAAAAGAGAAAAGGUUAUUGUGUCACACAAAGGACAUUAGUAAAGACACCGCCAUAUUCAAACAAAAUUCUUUUAUUGAAAGUGUAAUGGAAAUUUCUUCAUAUUGCUUUGAUGAAAUGAGAGACAGCAGCUGUAGACAAAUAUGCUUUUUUUAUAAACAAAUGCAAAUGGAUAAGGUAAAAAUAAAGCAUUUUUUUAACUUGUACCUUUAAGCAACAUAAUCACAAUAUAUACACAAAGAAAGCUAAAAUAAAGCUAUGUUGAAACCAAAGUGUUUCAACCAAUACAUUAGAUAAUUACAGAUUGUGUCAAUAAAUACCCAGUUUUUAAACUGUUUAACAGGCAACUUUUUACACAGAUACCGAGAAGAAAAAAAAAUUAUAUAUUUACAAUUCAGUGCCCUGGGGGGAAAAAAAAAAGAGAAAAAAAUAUUUUUUUUCUUUUUUGGCACCAACACAAAUAAAAAGAAUAAAUUACUGAAAAAAAUCCACAAGGCAGGAGUCAAUCCCAAUAAUUCAUUUUAAAAAAGUAUGUGUGUGUGUGUAUAUAUAUAUAUAUAUAUAAAAUAUAGGCAUAUAUUUUAUAUAUAUAUAAAUAUAUAUGCAGAGAAACCUAGGAAUGUUACAAAAUACAUUAGUGCCAAUAAAUACAGAACGCUACCAGACUUUCAACUGUCAGUAUUUUUGAUGCAGUCUGAAGGAUGAGGAACUACCACCUAGGAGAUAACCGAAAAGGGGAUUUUUCAGUCUAAAGAAACAAUGACGACAAUGAAAAAUAAUAAUAAUAAUAAAAAUAAUAAUAAUAA